AUUCAAGAAAAAUACACUUUUGUAUGAGCUUGGAUAGGAUUAGAGUUGGUAGAAUAAAAGCCUACCACGCCAAUGAUCCUUCGCUAGUCGAUGUG
rnacentral:rRNA from 1 species